rnacentral:rRNA from 1 species
CUUAUUUCAGAUAGCCAUGCACGUCUAUGUACAAACUAAAUGAUGGUGAAACUGCAAAUGGCUCAUUACAACGGUUAUGAUGUACCCGGGAGUUCCGAUGGAUAUUUCCAGUAACACUAGAACUAAUACAUGUCCCUGCGUUUAUUAGUUUCGCACAGUCCGUCGCUGAGUCAUGGUAAACAGUUGAUCGACUCGACGUCCCGGAACAGUUUCCGCCCCAUCAGCUUCGAUGGUUGGGUAUUGGCCUACCAUUGCAACAACGGGUAACGAGGAAUUAGGGUUUGAUUUCGGAGAGGGAGCCUGAGAAACGGCUACCACAUCUACGGAUGGCAGCAGGCGCGCAAAUUACCCAAUGCAGACACUGUGAGGUAGUGACGAGAAAUAAUAAAGCGGGACUUCUGUUUCGCUAUUAUAAUGAGGAAUAACCAAAGGUCAUUCCGAUUAGCAACUGAUGGGAAAGUCUGGUGCCAGCAGCCGCGGUAAUACCAGCGUCAGUAGCA